rnacentral:rRNA from 1 species
AGAGGCCCAAGUUGACAAAUGCCGGCGUAAAAUGUGGUUUAUACAGUAUUGCACUAAAGCUAAACUUCUUCAAAGCUGUCAUACGCACUCGAAGAAAAGAGGACCUUCCGCGAAAGUGGCUUUAAAUAAUAUUAACCCACGAAAGCUAGGAAACAAACUGGGAUUAGAUACCCCACUAUGCCUAGCCCUAAACACAAGUGACUACUUACACCCCUCGCUUGCCAGGGAACUACGAGCCCCAGCUUAAAACCCAAAGGACUUGGCGGUGCUUUAGACCCACCUAGAGGAGCCUGUUCUAGAACCGAUAACCCCCGUUAAACCUCACCCUCCCUUGUCACUCCCGCCUAUAUACCGCCGUCGUCAGCUUACCCUGUGAGGGACUCAUAGUGAGCAUAAUUGGCAUAGCCUAAAACGCCAGGUCGAGGUGUAGCGUAUGAGAGGGGAAGAAAUGGGCUACAUUCACUGCACCAGUGAAAACGAAUGAUGCUUUGAAACAAGCAUUUAAAGGAGGAUUUAGCAGUAAGGAGGGAAUAGAGUGCCCUUCUGAAACUGGCCCUGAAGCGCGCACACACCGCCCGUCACUCUCCCCAAAAUAGUAGGCAAAUUUUAAAUAAACAAAAUCCUAGACAAAGGGGAGGCAAGUCGUAACAUGGUAAGUGUACCGGAAGGUGCACUUGGAAAAACC